rnacentral:rRNA from 1 species
UACGGAGGGUGCGAGCGUUGUCCGGAAUCACUGGGCGUAAAGGGCGCGUAGGCGGCCUGAUAAGUAGGGGGUGAAAUCCUGCGGCUUAACCGCAGGGCUGCCUUCUAAACUGUCAGGCUUGAGCACAGUAGAGGCAGGUGGAAUUCCCGGUGUAGCGGUGGAAUGCGUAGAGAUCGGGAAGAACACCCAGGGGGAAACCAGCCGACUGGGCAUCUACUGACGCUGAGGUGCGAGAGCGUGGGGAGCGAACCGG